rnacentral:rRNA from 1 species
GGAUUAGAUACCCUGGUAGUCCACGCCGUAAACGAUGAGAACUAACUGUUGGACAGUUUUAACUGUUUAGUAGUGAAGCUAACGCGAUAAGUUCUCCGCCUGGGGAGUACGGCCGCAAGGUUAAAACUCAAAGGAAUUGACGGGGGCCCGCACAAGCGGUGGAGCAUGUGGUUUAAUUCGAUGCAACGCGAAGAACCUUACCUACCCUUGACAUCCUAGGAAGCUUUCAGAGAUGAGAGUGUGCCUUCGGGAACCUAGAGACAGGUGCUGCAUGGCUGUCGUCAGCUCGUGCCG